GACACGCUGGCGGCGUGGAUUAGGCAUGCAAGUCGGACGGUAGGCGUUUAUCGUAAGAUAGAGUUUGAGAGUGGCGAACGGGUGAGUAACACGUAGGAAUCUACCCUUAAGACGGGGACAAACCCGGGAAAACUUGGGCUAAUACCGGAUGAGAGUGCGAGAGAUUGCAUUUAAAAGGAUGGCGAAAGUUGUCGCUUAGGGAUGAGCCUGCGGUCUAUUAGUUAGUUGGUGAGGUAAGAGCUCACCAAGGCGAUGAUAGAUAGGCGGCCUUAACGGGUGGUCGCCCACACUGGGAUUGAGAUACGGCCCAGACUCCUACGGGAGGCAGCGGUCGAGAAUAGUCUACAAUGGCCGGAAGGCUGAUAGUGCGACGCCGCGUGAACGAGGGAGCCCUUCGGGGUGUAAAGUUCUUUUCUAUACGAGCAGUGCUAUAUAUAUGGAUAGUAUAUAUAGAGGGAUAGUAGUAUAGGAAUAAGCAACGGCUAACUCCGUG
rnacentral:rRNA from 1 species